rnacentral:lncRNA from 1 species
GGUAUCAGAGCCGGAAAAUCUUCCGAUCCUUCUCUGCUAUGUGUUAUCGAUACUUGAUGAAGCUUUUGCUGAAGUUUUUCUUAGGUUAUCUGAGAAAAAUAUUGUUCGUAUAGUUUUUUUGAUGAAUGUUAAUCGGUUAAUCAAGACUUUUCUGACUGUUUGAGGCUCUGAUUUUGUAUCAGUAGAUGUUUUGGGUAUUUUUCCGGCAUCUCUGAUUUUGUUCCGACGAGUUCUUCAAAUUUUAGGGUUUUCCGACUUUCGGACCUAGAGUUUUGGUGUUAUCCGAUGACUUUCUCUUCGCUUGAUGGACGUUUUGGGUAACUUUCCGGCGUUUGUGACCUUAUUCCGGUGAGUUUCAGAACCUAGGGUUUCCGGUGUUGGACCUAGGGUUUUAUCUGUUUAUUGAAGGCCGAUCUUCUCCGGUCGCGAAGAAGGAGGGUAACUCUGUCCUUAUUUUGAGUACUGUAUGCUUUGUAUGUGACUAUCUGGUUCCGUAUGUGAGUAUCUGGUUCCGUUAUAUUUUGCUUGUCGAAACUGUUUUUCUUUCAAGCUGGUUCAUUAAUCAUGGCUUCUAAUACCAAUGCUGGUACCUCCUCCUCGGUAGACUCUACCAGCCCCCCCUUUGUAUAUUCCUCUUAUGUCCCUGGGGUCUCUCAGGUCCCCGCUCCCUUCUCGGGUAGUGGUUAUGGGGGUUGGAGGAGAAAAAUGAUUGUCGCAUUAUCUGCUA